AAUUAUCACAGGUACGACGCUCUCGCUCGUUAAUAUUCAAACCACCUUGGAUUAUUAUAAAUGAUCCUUGAUUCAAACGGUAAUCGUUUAACUGUUAAACCGCUGUAACGCAGUGCAGAGCAACUAGAGUUAAAACAGUUGGACUUGCAAAUGGGGUGUUCUUGUUUGGUGAUGAUAUGGCAUGUUAACAUGGACCAGCCAAUUGGAUAUGAAAACAAUUCAUGAUGAUAUUUAUGAUCAAGCGAGGAAUCUAAUCACUUGGAGUUCAACAUCUAGACAUUUGUAUGAAUAUAUUGGGAUUUUUACCCGUAUCAUGGUAACCAACACUAAUCUUACAUUUGAAAGAUGGAAUAUGUAAGCUGCUAGUGAGGUAGGAAAAUAAAUUUGAAAAUUAUUAGUACAUCAGAUGAUAUCCAACAGCAUGAGAGGUAAUCACUGUAAUUACUACAGUAGUAAGAGUAGUAAUAGAUACCCAAUCAAAGCACUUUUUAUUUUAUUUAGAAAACACCUGGAUUUUAUAAGUGGACAAAAAACUCAAACACAUUGAAGUGAGGUGACAUUUCAUUGAAGUGUUGAGAAAUAUGAAGGAGAGUUUCAACUGCAGCAAACCACUGUCAACAGGCAGAUUUCAAAAACUUCGUUUAAUAUCAACACCUCAUCCCUGUGGUUAGGGGAGGAAGAAUUCUACCAAGGUCUCUACACCAGUCGUAAAAGGCGACUAAUGUGACGUAGAGCCCUCCGACAAGUGGCCUUUAUCUUGUGACACCUUCUCCGACCUGCAAUUAGCACCUAGUGCUACUUGUCGGUCUGCAGUCGUAGGGGAUCCUUCAGGGUGAACCACUAAAGCCAAAGAACAUCAGUCAGUCAACACCACUUAUCAACCAUCACCCAUGAUUACUUACUUUAACCCUUAGUGUAUGAUCUUAUCGGCUGUUAUGGGAUCCUAAACAUAAGGACUAUGAUAAUAAAAUUAAAAGGAAUGAAGCAAGACAUUUUUUCAUUUACAACAAUUGUAUGGAAACAAAAUGUAUAUUAUAUUUUUAAAGACUGGAAAUGGUAAAAUAGGUUAAUAUGAAUUUCAGCGUUGAGAAAACCUUUUUUAACAGAAGUGUCAAAUUGUCCAUACCUAUGCGGCAUUUUUACUUUAAGCACAUGGUAUUAUCUAACGGAUUUGUAAGAAGAGAGAACUGCAAUAGAUUUACAUUUUAUCUAACCUUAUCUGUUUGAAAAUGGACUGCUAAAACGCUGUACAACAUUAUAUUGUUUAUAUGGUUAUAUGAUUUAAUCUUCCCUUUUUUUUUUGUUAUAACAUUUUUUUAUACUUUCGAGUUGAUGGCAUAAACAGAUUGACGUUACCAGUGUUUCUUAAUUUUUAAGGGGAAUUGGUGAACUUUUUAAAUGUUCUCAGCUAAGCA